GGCCUUGUAGCUAAGUUGGCUAGAGCUUUGGUUGUACUAAAGCCUUCGCCUUGCUGGCGUGGGUUCGAAUCUCACCGAGGUCA
rfam:Schistocephalus solidus strain NST_G2 genome assembly, scaffold: SSLN_contig0002522